rnacentral:lncRNA from 1 species
CCUCAGGCAGCCUGAGCCCCUCAAUGUGGCUACUGUGGCUGCUGUGGGGAGGAGGCCACUGCUACCACCUGCUCGCAUCAGUCAGCCCAGUCUGCUGCCCCAGGCCCUGGUGGGCAGCGGUGUGUGGAGUGGGACAAGAGACAGGCAACUUUCUGUACACGUACAUCCGGAGGAGAAUGAGUGACACGCAGUAGGUGCUCAACCUACACAGAGAUAAAAAGCCUGUGAGAGCAUCCAGCCCACCCCAGAAAUGCUCAAAAAUGCAAGCAAGGAACAGCAUGAACCCCAGUGCCAGAGGUGCAUCCUCCAGAGUUCAGCACUUCCUGCAGUGAGAUAUCCAAGGUGCCCCGGAAGCACCGCCAUUCCCUUCCAAAGAGCUGCCCUCUUUGCUGACAUCCCACCAAAGAGUGUGGUGGGAAACUAGACACAGGAGACGACUGCACACAUUGGAGGAGAACACACCUCACAGAUCCAAUGCUACUGCCUCAGUGCUGCCAAAUAUGUACAGAGCCACCCCAACA